GCAUUGCUGACAAAUGCACCCUAAACUCCUUAUCCUUUCUACCUCCCCUCUUAGUGAGGCUGUCUGUGUUCAUCACUGCUUUGCCUUCUAUCAGUCUUUUCUGCUACAUUAGACCGCUCUUUCCUUAUUUCUGCCUUUCUAUCCUUGCAACCCCCAAAAGCUGACGCUCCCUAACCUUUGGCCUCGUGCUAUGAAAGUCACCGGGCCAGGCUCGGCUGCAUCUGAAGUUUCAAAGGCUAAACGGCUGUCCUAACAAGAGGCUGUUUGAAUAAGUUUCGCCACAUAGGCCUACAAACAUCAUUUGACAUUCCACUGUUUUAUACAGUGACAGCUGGAGUAGAGCAGUUUCAGGGUAAGCAGAUGGUUUGAAAUCAGUUCCUUACAACCAGAGAGUAUUUCGAGAUAUACAUUUAACAGAUUGAAUUAUAUUUCUGUCAUUCAGUGUGUGUGUGUGUGUGUGUGUGUGUGUCUGAGUGUGUGUGUGUGUCUGUGUCUGUGUGUGUGUGUGUGUGAGAGAGACAGAGAGUACAGGAGAAUGGCAUGUAAUACAUAUGUAUUUUAAAGCAUUUCUUUGGACACUGUGUUAACAAACCUACAGACGAGCUUCAAUGCCAUGCAACUCUCCUUCCGUGGCCUCCAAAUGCUCUUAAAUGCAAGUUAAACUAAAUUCAUGCUCUUCAACCGAUCGCUGCCCGCACUCGCACGCCCAUCUAGCAUCACUACUCUUGGACGGUUCUGACCUAGAAUAUGUGGACAACUACAAAUACCUAGGUGUCUGGUUAGACUGUAAACUCACCUUCCAUACUCACAUUAAGCAUCUCCAAUCCAAAAUUAAAUCUAGAAUCGGCUUCCGAUUUCGCAACAAAGCAUCCUUCACUCAUGCUGCCAAACAUACCCUCUUAAAACUGACUAUCCUACCGAUCCUUGACUUCGGGCGAUGUCAUUUACAAAAUAGCCUCCAACACUCUACUCAGCAAAUUGGAUGUAGUCUAUCACAGUGCCAUCCAUUUUGUCACCAAAGCCCCAUAUACUGCCCACCACUGCGACCUGAAUGCUCUCGUUGGCUGGCCCUCGCUUCGUAUUCGUCGCCAAACCCACUGGCUCCAGGUGAUCUAUAAGUCUUUGCUAGGCAAAGCCCCGCCUUAUCUCAGCUCACUGGUCACCAUAGCAGCACCUGCCCGUAGCACAAACUCCAGUAGGUAUAUUUCACUGCUCAUCCCCAAAGCCAACUCCUCAUUGGCUGCCUUUCCUUACAGUUCUCUGCUGCCAAUAACUGGAACGAAUUGCAAAAAUCACUGAAGCUGGAGUCCUAUAUUUCCCUCACUAACUUUAAGCAUCAGCUGUCAGAGCAGCUUACCGAUCAUUGCACCUGUACAUAGCCCAUCUGUAAAUAGCCCACCCAACUACCUCAUCCCCAUAUUGUUAUUUAUUUUUUUGCUCCUUUGCACCCCAGUAUCUCUACUUGCACAUUCAUCUUUUGGACAUCUAUCACUCCAGUGUUUAAUUGCCAAAUUGUAAUUAUUUUGCCACUAUGGCCUAUUUAUUGCCUUACCUCACUAAUCUUACUACAUUUGCACACACUGUAUAUAGACUUUUCUAUUGUGUUAUUGACUGUACGUUUGUUUAUCCCAUGUGCAACUCUGUGUUGUUUGUGUCGCACUGCUUUGCUUUAUCCUGGCCAGGUUGCAGUUGUAAAUGAGAACUUGUUCUCAACUGACCUACCUUGUGAAACAAAAAUAAAAAUAAGAAGAAUGUAGGCCGUUUAGCAGAUGCUUUUAUCCAAAGCUACCUACAGCCAUUUUGACAUUUUAGUCAUUUAACAGACACUCUUAUCCAGAGCAACUAGGGUUAAGUGCUUUGCUCAAGGGCACAUUGACAGAUUUUUCUCCAAACCCUUGACAUUCAGCAUUGUAAGAAACAUGCUCUACCAACUGAGCCACACGGCCAACACACAAUGAUAAAUGGAUGAGAGAUAGAAAAUAGGAAAAAGGCAGUGUUUGAGAGUGUGCCUGACAACAAGUGCGAUGAGUCAGGCAGGGGCGUCAGGGUCAGUGUCACUGUUUUUUAAUUGCUUUAUUGUUUUGUUUUUCCCAAGAUAGAGAGGUUUACUACGAGGAAAAGUCUUCAGAGGUAUCAGAGCAGGAGAGGGAAUGCUGAGCAUGAUAGGGGAGAGAAAUAAAAUAAAGAAAUGAGUAACAAUAUUCCAACAGGAAUAAAUGAUCAGUAUACCAAACACUAAAUACAUUUGAUGGUGAAGUAAAAGUAGGAUUAAAAAGGGAACAUAGUUAUUGAGAAGCCAGACACACCCAUUAUGUUCAACUUGUGUUCACAAUCCUCAAUGCACCCUUAUGUUGACAGCCACCAUAAAACCCUGUUAUCUAGACAGGCCUUGGCCUUUGUGUGCUAUGAUGUUGACUAUAGCCGGUCAUAAAGAUGGUAGAGGGGGAAUGACAGGUCAAAGUCAGUUGCAAUUGCAGGCUCCUCACAUGUACCAGUACCGAAUGACUAAGUCAGAGUCCUGCCUUAACCCCACGUAAAUUCCCUGUAAUUGACCUUAUAUGUACUUCUGUUUCAGGUAUUUCAAAGUGAGAUAUCAUACGCCCACCAGAAACAACUGAAGGUGUGACCUCAAUAUAUGGGACGAGCUAAAUGUUGCAUGAAUGCAGUAAUAUCGUUAUCCUGUAGGAGGCAUAGUGUGCUAUGAACAGCUUGUGGACAAAUCUGGUGCUUGCUGGCUGUAACAGCAACUCCAUGUGGAAGUUGUCUGUGUUCCAGUGGAGAUGCUGUUACCUGCAGAGAGUCACCCCCUAGCCAGCUCUGACAUGGAAUCAAUGUUUAGAAUAUCACAGUCCUUAUUUAUUAUGGCUGUUCUGAUGUUUCUCCUCUUUCGGUUGAACUCAGUUAUAUCUGCUUUCACCACAUUGUCAUGUAUUUUUUGAUUUGUAUUAUUAAGAACAGUCUCUAGAUCAUUCAAGAGAUAUGGGCUCCUUGUUUUCAAUGACAACAUCAUGUGAAGAUAUGUAUGCCCUCCAAACUUUGGUUUGAAUUCAGAGUAGGGAUGCAUGGGAUGCAUGGUGAUGACCUAUGAAUUGACAGCCAGUGUCUGCAACACAACUGCCUGUCAGUUCUGUAGGCCACUGCUGUGUCUAUCCUACUGAGCACACACAGGGGUUUAGAUGGAGCAAAGGAACUCAUUGAUAUGUUUGAUAAAUUGUCAGAAACCUAUGAUGUAUUUGUGAAACCCCUGAGAAUAUUCUGUAUAGUAUACAUUUGCAAGUUAUUUGAAGACAAUACAAUUGCUUUGUUGCCAACCUUGGAAAUAAAGAUUGAAAACACUCUCUGAUUGUUUAAAUAAUAUAAUUAAGCAAUAAGGUACGAGAGGGUGUGGUAUGUGGCCAAUAACCACAGCUAAGGGUUGUUCUUAAGCACGACGGAGCACUCGGAUACAGCCCUUAGCCGUGGUAUAUUGGCCAUAUACCACAAACCCCUGAGGUGCCUUACUAUUAUAAACUGAUUACCAAAGUAAUUACAG
ensembl:lncRNA